UUUGUCUACUCUGUGGUAACCCGGAAGACACUCGCACGUGUAAGAGCCAUUCACGUUCACACAUUUUGUGUUUGCGUUACAAUGGUGCCCCUCGGAGCCACCUUGCUGUUUGCAUUCAUCUAUGUCUGCCACGUUAACGGUCGACAGACGGAAAUAUCACGAUCGCCAUCUCAAUGGAUUUAAUUGAAUUAAAGGCUAUUAAAUAUCGACGGGAAAGGAAAACAAAAAAAAAAAAAAGAGAAGAGAAGAAAAGGCACACAAAAAGAGAGAGAGAGAGAGCAAAGUUAGAGAAGCAUUAGAUACCGUGACAGUUAUGACCGUCCCCCUGGAAACCGAUAUCGCAAUGGCAGGCGUACGUUGUCUGCAGAUUCAGGCAGGACGCAUUAGCAUGACACUUGUGGCCCUUCGCACAGUAGUCCACCCCUGGUUAAAUUGGGUUAGCCAAGGAAAGAAUGCAGAGAUGAUAUUGGUCGGCUGCCAUGCCAUUCAGGAUACGAAUAUUACAUUAUAGCAGAAAAGAGGGAAAUUUCGCCUAGGGAUUUUUUUCAAUGUUACAGGCGCGCAGGGUGUAGGCCUGCACUCGAUCUCCCCGUGUACGCAGGAACACUGUUGGCAACCCUUUUCCCAGGUCGCGCCAUCCUCGUGAACGGUGCCAUUUGCCCUGCACGACUUUUGGCACUCGCACUCC